UGGACCCGUGAUCCGGGUUGCGGACAGUGUCUGGUGGGUAGUUUGACUGGGGCGGUCUCCUCCUAAAGAGUAACGGAGGAGCACGAAGGUUGGCUAAUCCUGGUCGGACAUCAGGAGGUUAGUGCAAUGGCAUAAGCCAGCUUGACUGCGAGCGUGACGGCGCGAGCAGGUGCGAAAGCAGGUCAUAGUGAUCCGGUGGUUCUGAAUGGAAGGGCCAUCGCUCAACGGAUAAAAGGUACUCCGGGGAUAACAGGCUGAUACCGCCCAAGAGUUCAUAUCGACGGCGGUGUUUGGCACCUCGAUGUCGGCUCAUCACAUCCUGGGGCUGAAGUAGGUCCCAAGGGUAUGGCUGUUCGCCAUUUAAAGUGGUACGCGAGCUGGGUUUAGAACGUCGUGAGACAGUUCGGUCCCUAUCUGCCGUGGGCGCUGGAGAACUGAGGGGGGCUGCUCCUAGUACGAGAGGACCGGAGUGGACGCAUCACUGGUGUUCGGGUUGUCAUGCCAAUGGCACUGCCCGGUAGCUAAAUGCGGAAGAGAUAAGUGCUGAAAGCAUCUAAGCACGAAACUUGCCCCGAGAUGAGUUCUCCCUGAGACUUAG
rnacentral:rRNA from 1 species